rnacentral:rRNA from 1 species
AGAGAGAGACAUGCGCGCAUAUCAAUAAGCGGAGGAAAAGAAACUAACAAGGAUUCCCCUAGUAACGGCGAGUGAAGCGGGAAGAGCUCAAAUUUGAAAUCUUAAAGGGUUUCCCUUUACGAAUUGUAGUUUAAAGAAGUGUUUUCUGUUGAGGUUUUGGUAAAAGUUCUCUUGGAAUAGGACUAUCAUAGAGGGUGAGAAUCCCGUAUUUGACCUUUACUUUCAACUUUGUGAUACACUUUCAAAGAGUCGGAUUGUUUGGGAAUGCAGUCCAAAAUGGGUGGUAAAUUUCAUCUAAAGCUAAAUAUUGGCGAGAGACCGAUAGCGAACAAGUACCGUGAGGGAGAGAUGAAAAGAACUUUGAAAAGAGAGUUAAACAGUACGUGAAAUUGUCAAAAGGGAAGCGUUUGACACCAGUGUUGUUUUUCUGAAAAUCAAUUAAAGAACUGUUUAUGCUAAGCUGUUUAGACUUUAUCAGCUAACUGUUUAGUUUUGAGCUUUUCUUUAAUGCACUUUUCAGUUAACAAGUCAACAUCAAUUUCUUUUGCUGUAAAAAAGCUUGAGGAAGGUGGCUUGAGAUUCGUCUUAAGUGUUUAUAGCCUCUUGCCUAUGCAGUCGGAGAGAUUGAGGUCUGCAGCGUAGAUCCUUCGGGGCUAAAUGCAUUUGUGCUAAGUUAUAGCAUUUUAUAGACAACUUGUUGACUAUGAUUUGUCUUGUAGCUUACUCGCUUAUGUUAUUUUACCUACGCUUAGGAUGUUGACGCAUGAGAUAUACGC